UACGUAGGGUGCAAGCGUUAAUCGGAAUUACUGGGCGUAAAGCGUGCGCAGGCGGUGAUGUAAGACAGAUGUGAAAUCCCCCGGGCUCAACCUGGGAACUGCAUUUGUGACUGCAUCGCUGGAGUACGGCAGAGGGGGAUGGAAUUCCGCGUGUAGCAGUGAAAUGCGUAGAUAUGCGGAGGAACACCGAUGGCGAAGGCAAUCCCCUGGGCCUGUACUGACGCUCCAUGCACGAAAGCGUGGGGAGCAAACAGG
rnacentral:rRNA from 1 species